GACGAACGCUGGCGGCGUGCUUAACACAUGCAAGUCGAACGAAGAGCGAUGGAAGCUUGCUUCUAUCAAUCUUAGUGGCGAACGGGUGAGUAACGCGUAAUCAACCUGCCCUUCAGAGGGGGACAACAGUUGGAAACGACUGCUAAUACCGCAUACGAUCUAAUCUUGGCAUCGAGGAUAGAUGAAAGGUGGCCUCUACAUGUAAGCUAUCACUGAAGGAGGGGAUUGCGUCUGAUUAGCUAGUUGGAGGGGUAACGGCCCACCAAGGCGAUGAUCAGUAGCCGGUCUGAGAGGAUGAACGGCCACAUUGGGACUGAGACACGGCCCAGACUCCUACGGGAGGCAGCAGUGGGGAAUCUUCCGCAAUGGACGAAAGUCUGACGGAGCAACGCCGCGUGAGUGAUGACGGCCUUCGGGUUGUAAAGCUCUGUUAAUCGGGACGAAAGGCCUUCUUGCGAAUAGUGAGAAGGAUUGACGGUACCGGAAUAGAAAGCCACGGCUAACUACGUG
rnacentral:rRNA from 1 species